UUUAUAUUUUAUUUUUUAUCUUUAUCUCCAUGCGAAUGAACAGAGAAACUGAAAACUUCAAAACGCCUCUGGUCCGUUGUAGCCUACCAUCCUCAACACAGCGGAAGAGAGUUUUAGUCGACUUUGUAGAAGGUCGACUUCCCGUAGCCUAUAAUUUCCUGCUCUACUCAUUGUUGUAACAAUAUCGAGGGCUCCAAUGGGUCCACGCAACAACCGGCUUGCCACAACCCACAGAACCUUGUCAAGCAUCAAUGUGGGGGACCGUGGACAUUCUUGGGGUCCUUCCAUCUCAGCGGUCUCAUGGGCAAUAGCGUCAUCAGUGGCCGCAGCUUUCUUAGCGGUCUACGGGUACUGGGCGGUCUACGAGGUCGCAAAUGCCAUAUCGAGCUCAGUGGCCUCAGUGGCCUCAGCAGCUAAAGAUUUCUCAAAGGCCAUGUCGGACUCAGUGUCCUCAGCAGCAUCAGCGUUCUCAGAAUUCUCAUCAGCCAUAUCGAACUCAGUGGCCUCAGUAGCCUCAGCAGCCGCAGU